GAGCAGCGCGGGGUUUGCUCGGUUGUGUGAGGGCCGGGGGAGCCGGAGCGAUGGCGGCGGCGUCCGGAGAGGAGUCAUUCCCCUGCUGCACCAUGGGGUCCCUCCUGGAGACACUUCUCCAUGAACUUCUCCAAGGUGUUACCACCAUUUCUAACGGGCCCAGCCUUGGCCAGCAGCUGGUCUGUCCUGGAGCUGCCUCGAAUUUCCUCUGUGGGACAUGGAGGAGCAGCUGCUUGCAUCAUCCUCUCACAGAAGGUGCUCCUAGAGCCCCCUCUUACCAAAACCUGGCCAUGCAAUCCUAGUAUAAGUAUGGUCGGGUUUUAUUACCAUUAUUCAUUCUUAUUAUUGCUAUUUUGGCUACUUUUGCUCUUAAUAUUACAGUUACUACUU